CUGUCUCAUAAUACCCGACUCACUCAAAACACUAUAAACCUAUAGCAAAGAAAGCAUCACUAGAAGUAGCCUCGAUCCCAGGCCGAGUUUUCGCUUUUAUAACGGUUAGGCGAACAACUGGGCCUGGUACUAGUUGUCUGCGCAUGUGUCAGUCGUUCGUCAGAUUCUGACUGAAUGGAUAUUCUCGUUCACUUUCGUGACAUUUAUAUUCGUGUACUAUCGUGUACUAGAAGUCAGUUCCCGUUUUAUCAUUAUUGGAAUCGAUUGGAAUGGCUCUUAGCUGAAGCUUCUCUCUUCUCUGAAGCUUAUUCUGAAGACUGAACAACAAGGGAAGAGGUAUAAAGCUUUGUCAAGCUUGUUAAGGUCAGAUAUUUUUGUGUGGGCCCUAUGGCCGGCUAUGCUAUCAAGUCUUGUUCAUGUUUGGCAAGAAUGUAGGUAGACUAUAGUUUCAUCAUUAAUAUGGUGGAUCAAGUGAAGAGUGUGAGCUAGAGAACUUGGUGCUGCCAUCAUCAGCUCGUCGACAAUGACACUAUAACCGAGAAAUUUAAUAUGUAUAGAUCUACACGUAUUUAAAAUGUCUACUUCUCUGUACAGGAGCAAUGGCUAAUAUCCAGCUAUCCCAACAGUGCUCCUCUUGGCUAUACUAACGGACGAGACUGGACAGUUUGAGACACAGGACUGGAGUAUGACCUGCUCAUUCGAGCGUUGCUGGGUAGCUCAGAGACAUCAAGAGAAUCUACGUUUUCUCAAGCAAUGAGUUACGAGUUGGGGCCUAGAAUCAGAGAAGUCCAGCAGCCUGCUAAAUCUUUUUGAAACGUAAUUUGAAGGCAUUCAAUCAUCCUGAAGUUGCCCUGGGUCACUGUAAUUGUGCUGCAGCACAACUGGCAACUCCCCAGGCCUUUGUGAAGCAGCUCCCUAUGUGCAUCUUUUGUGUACUCACUCUGUGCAUUUUCUGUGUACAAAUUUCUAUUAUUGAUUUAUUAAAUAUUUUUGCCGACCACAAA